CAGAAAGAAGAGGUCUGGAAGGUUCAUAGGAUACUUGGAGACCUGGCAAUUAGGAAAGUUCAUCCAUAGCUGAAGAAUUUGAAGAAGUUAGACUUGAAAAAAGAGAGGUGAAGUCACAGCAGAUGGCAAUAUGAGAUAAGGACAAUCAUUAGUCUGUGGAUGUUUGUCUUCAAAAAGUGCAGCAAGAGUUGAGAAAGAGGAAUGUGAAGGAGAAAAGAAGGAAGAUCUUUGUGAACCCCGAUACAAAUUUUGGUACAAAGAGGGACCAUACAGAAUUACAAGGAUGAGUUUUGUUAAUGGCUUUAUCCAUCCCUGGAGUUGGCUGUCUAAUUGAUGAGACCUACAGCUGCUUGGUCCCUCCUCUG
rnacentral:lncRNA from 1 species